UACGGGGGGGGCAAGCGUUGUUCGGAAUUACUGGGCGUAAAGGGCGCGUAGGCGGCCUGCUAAGUCGGAUGUGAAAUCCCCGGGCUCAACCUGGGAACUGCAUUUGUGACUGCACGGCUCGAGUGCGGCAGAGGGGGAUGGAAUUCCGCGUGUAGCAGUGAAAUGCGUAGAUAUGCGGAGGAACACCGAUGGCGAAGGCAAUCCCCCUGGGGCCUGCACUGACGCUCAUGCACGAAAGCGUGGGGGAGCAAACAGG
rnacentral:rRNA from 1 species